rnacentral:rRNA from 1 species
UACAGAGGUCCCGAGCGUUAUUCGGAAUUAUUGGGCGUAAAGGGCGCGUAGGCGGCUUGGCAAGUGGAUGGUGAAAUCCCUCGGCUUAACCGAGGAACUGCCGUCCAAACUGCUUCGCUUGAGACCGGGAGAGGUGAGUGGAAUUCCCAGUGUAGCGGUGAAAUGCGUAGAUAUUGGGAGGAACACCAGUGGCGAAGGCGGCUCACUGGACCGGUACUGACGCUGAUGCGCGAAAGCGUGGGGAGCAAACGGG